rnacentral:pre_miRNA from 1 species
CUGGGAUUGGGGGUCUCAGAAGGCAGUGCUGUUGAGGAGUCACCACCAUGGCCUGGACUCUGGUCUUUCUCAGUCUCCUUGCUCAGGGCACAAGUGA